CGCCUCUUGCAAAAUAAAUGAAUAAGAGGUCCCGCCUGCCCUGUGACUAUAUGUUCAACGGCCGCGGUAUUUUGACCGUGCGAAGGUAGCGCAAUCACUUGUCUUUUAAAUGAAGACCUGUAUGAAUGGCAUCACGAGGGCUUAGCUGUCUCCCCCUCCCAGUCAAUGAAAUUGAUUUUCCCGUGCAGAAGCGGGAAUAAGAACAUAAGACGAGAAGACCCUAUGGAGCUUAAGACGCCAGGACAGCUCAUGUUAAACACCCCAGAACAAAGGGAAUAAACUUAGUGAAACCCUGCCCUAGUGUCUUUGGUUGGGGCGACCACGGGGAAAAACUUAACCCCCAUGCGGAAUAGGAAUACUAUUUUCCUAGACUCAAGAGCUCCCGCUCUAAUAGACAGAAUUUCUGACCAAAAGGAUCCGGCAAUGCCGAUCAACGGACCGAGUUACCCUAGGGAUAACAGCGCAAUCCUCUUUAAGAGUCCCUAUCGACAAGAGGGUUUACGACCUCGAUGUUGGAUCAGGACAUCCUAAUGGUGCAGCCGCUAUUAAGGG
rnacentral:rRNA from 1 species